GAAUCAGAGCUGGUUGUAAGAUCUGUUACCCCGCUGGUUGCCAGGAUUAAUUCCAUGGAUCCGACAGAUGGGCAAAGAUUCCCUUCACUUCUCACUGUUCCAUGUACAUUCUUGCUAUUGUGGGAAGCUCAGCUGUAAAGGGCAACCUGCCUACCUAGAAAAGGAUCUGUCGUUGGUCCAGAGUAUACUCUUUCCUAUGGCUUAUUCAUCUUUGUAUCAGUACUGUUUGAAUGUUUAUUAAAUAACUGAAUAUUAUAGGUGGCAGAAAUGGUUAAUGUUUGUAUGUAUGAGGAAAGUUUCACUAACUAUUC
rnacentral:snRNA from 1 species